GAUGAACGCUGGCGGCGUGCCUAAUACAUGCACGUAGGACGCAGUUUCGAACGGGUGCGUAACGCGUUGGUAACUACCUAUUAGCGGGGGCUAACUCUUGGAAACGAUAGCUAAUACCGCAUACAAGUAGAUGGACCUGCGUUGUAUUAGCUAGUAGGUAGGGUAAUGGCCUACCUAGGCAGCGCUACAUUGCCGAGCGGAGAGGGGGAACGGCCAUGCUGUGACUGAGCCACGGCCGGAACUUCUUCCGGAGGCAGCAGAUGGGGAUCUUGGUCAAUGAGGGGAAGUCUGACCGCGCGACGCCGCGUGAGAGGUGGAGGUGUUCGGAUCGUAAAGUUCUGUUGUUGCUGAAGCGGUUCUUAUCCAGAAAGGGACGGCUAACUACGUGCCAGCAGCCGCGGUAAUAC
rnacentral:rRNA from 1 species